rnacentral:lncRNA from 1 species
CGAGAGAGGCUUCGAGAGCAAGUUUCUUUUCUCUUUUUCUCUCUUUCUCUCUAGUUCUCACCCCUCACUCCUUUUCUCUUCUAAUCUCUCCACAAAAGAGGAUUAAUUGGAGAAGAAGUUGGAGUAGAAUCCUUGAAAGUUGGAGAGUAGCUUGGAGCUCAAGCUUUCAUCUUCUUCCUACCUAUUAGAGAAAGCUUUGGAGGUAAGCUUUGGUAGCUACAAUGGUAGAUUGCUAAGGAAUGAUUUGUAGGCUCUAAAAUUGGAUUUAGAGGAAUCCUUAGGUGCUAAAUAGAUGCUAUUUGCUUGAAUCAUGAAUCAAUUUGGUGAUUUCUUGCAAUAGUAGCAUGUUAAGGCUCAAAUUGGGGUUUUGCUAUGUAAGAGGGUUUGAUCUAAAUUGAGCCUGUAUAAACCUAAUUGCUAGGUUUUCUGACGCGCUGGCGAAGUCGGUUCAGCGAUAUGACAAGGCUACGCGAAGAUAUUAAAGAAAAUGCCGAUUUCGGUACAGAUUGCCGCAACUUGCGGCGUAAGCUUCCAAAAAUCACGAAACCGGAAUCGUAGCAUCAUGACAUCACCUAAAGUCUUGGAGCUAAGAGAGUCGAGGGCACGAAGGGUCGCGUGGAGCUCUCGGUUGGUUUGACCUCGCUACAAAUGAGAAAAUCUCAAUUAUGUGGAUUUAAGUAUCAUAAAAUGGAAAAUCACGCAUUUUCAUGAUAGAUGCAUUAUUGGUGAAUUUUAGAAUGCUUGAAAUGCUUAUGUUAUAUACAAUAUAUAUUUUCGGACCUCUAUGUAGUAGAGAACUUGUGUGUGAGACUUAUGCAUGGGUUUAGUAUUCUAAUUGGGACUUGGAAUCAUACUCCAUAUAGUAGACAUGACAAAUGUAAUAUGCCUUGGAUAUAAAUCUCAUUUGAACGUAGGAGAAUACAUUAGCCCAUAAAGUGGCUUCGGACUUGAAUAACUUAUGAGUUAGGGAGCUAAUGUCGUAACGCGACAUCGGGCUUGAGCUAUGAAUGAGCCUAGUAAAGUAAUAACAUAGAGAGGCAUUAGACUUGAAUGAUAUGUGAAUUGCAUGUGCAUGUUAAUAUUAUGAGAACUAUGCUAAGUUGAUAGUUGCAUACGGACACAUUGAAACCAUACGCUAGUGGAUAGAUGCAUAUUAAUAUUUAUAUGCAUUGUGGAAUACAUGCUAGGUACAUAUUAGCAAUGUGAGAUCAUGCUAGAGAGCAUGCGUAUUAACCUAUUACUGAUAGGGUAAGCUAAUGUCAUAAAGCGACAUUGAGCUUGGGACAUGUAUGAACCUAGUAAAUAAUGCCAUAAAGAGGCAUGAAAAUUGGAACAUGCUUGGAUAUAGUAAUGUUCUAGUGCCCUAAAGAGGCACUAGACAUAGUGAAUGUUGGAACUUCACUUGGGGAUAUUAAGGUAGACCUAUGAGUUGCUAGUGAUCAUUUCCAUGGUUGAGCCAUGAUGGCCGGAUCGUUGUGACGAUGACUAUGCUUGCUCACUCGUGCAGUAUUGAGAAGCCUACGGGGGCCUGGAGGGUUAGACUCAUUCCUCGAGGGAGAAUGCUGGGGCUACCACUGGCACUUAGGCGCCACAAGCCGACACUUCGGAGUUAGCCUACGCGACUUAUGCUCGCUCGUGCGGUAUUAAGAAGCCUACGGGGCCUGGAGGGACCUAGCAAAUCUUAGGCUGGUUGGACUAUAGGAAAUAGGCUUGUGAGAGACGAUGUCUAUUUGACAUGUAAGCGAAAGUAUCUCGAUUGGGUAUCUUGGAACAGCUCUAGAAAGUUGAGUUAAAUUGAAGUGUAUAGCCUCUAACUUCGCAGAGGGUUACGUUGGCGGCCGACAACGUAACAUCGGGAGUUAGUAGUAAAGGACACUUCCUUACUUUCGUAUGAUUUGGGUAUUGGUUAGUUGAGCGGGCUUGCAAUAGCGUGGGUUUUAUUAACUUACGCUUUUAUAAUGUUGUAGUGAUAAUGCCGAUUACACGCUCUAAGUCUGUUGGAGCGGACAACGCGGCAACUUUUGAGGAAGUGGAGACAUCCGCUACCUCCGGAUCCGGCGAGGUCCGUGAGUUGAGGAACCAGCUUGCGGCCCUCACCGAUUUAGUUACCCAGCAGGCGGCGACGGCUCAGCAGCAGGCAGAUGCGGCGCACCAGCAGGAGGCGAGGAUGAAGCGCCUGGAGGAUCUUCUACUGCAGCAGGCGGCUGCCAGGGAGGUUCAGGUCCCUACACCACCCGGGCCGGUGGAGGUUGUUGCACCCAGGGGGUCGUCCCCUGUGCUCGACACUUUCCGGGCGGCACCGACGGUGGCACCUCGGGAAGAGGUUAUUGCGGCACCGCCAGCUCAGGUGCCAUUGGCAGAAGCAGUUUUCCCCGUGAUGGUUGAGGGAGCGGAGCGGGAACGGCUCAUGGAUCGCCUCAAUGAGUUUAGGAGGUGUAGCCCCAGGAUCUUCGAUGGAGAGAGAGCCGACCACUGGAUCGUAGAGAAGUGGUUGAUGCACAUGGAGAAGUUAUUCCGCGACACCUUUGUGGAAGAAAGAGAUAGAGUUUGGCUCGCCACUCAUCACCUGGACGGCGAGGCCUAUAGUUGGUGGUUGGAUAUCCAGGAUAACCCCAACACCGACCUUGCAGCGAUUUCUUGGAAGAGGUUCAAGGAACUCUUGUUAGAGCACUACUUCCCCGUCAGCGUUAAGAGGAAGAUGGAGCAGGAUCUGCGUGAGAUGCGCCAGGGGGAUCGGACCGUGGCCGAGUACGAGAGAGAGUUCUCUCGGCUUCUACACUGUGUGCCCUUUGUUGUGCGGGACGACGAGGACAAGGCCCGCAUCUUCGAGCGAGGACUUCGGCCUUCGAUCUUUCGGUUGGUGCAAUCCUCCAACCUCCAGACCUACCGAGAUGUGGUGAACCGCGCGCUCAUUGUGGAGGGCGGCGCGGCGGAAUUGCAGGAGCGCCGUGAGGGCUUGGAUAAAGGUAAGGGCAAGAGGCCCGCGGCUGAGGGUGCGGAUCAGACGCACUCUGGGAGGCCGCCGAGACAUCCCAGGAGCUGGAGCCAGUCACGAGGACGUGGCUCAUCUACACUGCAUGGAGGAUCUGAUCGUCGCCAGGCUCUGAGCUGCGUGAUCUGCAGUGGUCGUCAUUACCCGUGGCAGUGCUCGCAGAGUCGGGGCAGGUGCUACCUGUGUGGCCAGGAGGGUCACUUCCAGUCGGACUGCCUGAGGGGUCCAGUUCCAGUGCCGUCAUCAGCAUCGGCACCAGCUUCACCGGGUCCCAGUCGGGGGACGACUUCUGCUCACUACCAGGCCGGGCGGCCACCUGUCCAGAGACAGACGGAGGGGUCACGACAAGCCCCGAGCGGGCGCAUGUAUGCGGCCCAGACUGAGGAGGCGGCAGCAGCCGAGUUUGUGGCUGCAGGUACCAUUAUAUUAUUAUGGCAUUCGAGUUUAUGCAUUUUAUGAUUGAGAUGUUUGCAUCAAUUGCAAACCUUGAUCGGCUGUUUGCCGAAUUGUUUAGCAUUGAUCCUUUUCCGAUACAUGAUCGGAUAAUCGGAUGUGUCGUCUUGAACACCCUACCUUGUGAGAGGGUUUUGUGCGCCAACAAAUGGAUUGGCCUUACUUGGUGUGGAGUAGUUGUGGGGUACCUUGUACCUUUGAUCUUGCGAGCUAACUUGACUCGCCUUGGAAAUUUGAGCACGAAAUAGGGCAUUUUGAGGAUUUAUUUUAGCUAGUUGUGUUGACUAUCCCCUUACCUAAAAUCGCGUAAUUACUGGGGAGGAUUAGUAUUUGUGGCUCGUUAGAGCAUGUCGUGUAGGACAACGACGUCGGGUGUUGUUUGGGGGACGACCCGUGCCUGGACCAUUUGUUGACUGUGGAGCCUGGGCCCUUGGGGCAGGCGCAGUCAGCUGUGAGUGACGGCGGCUCGAUACCUGCGGGUAGGGGAAAAGAUUUUGGUCAGGACGGUAGUUCGAGCUUAGACUCGGGAGCAUAGAAUGCCACGUGUUGGAUCUUGGAUAGCCAUGUGGAAUUAGAGCACUCACGAUGGAGCGAUGCACCUGUGAUAUUGCUUCUAAGCAAUGCCGGUGAUCGAAUCGCAGUGUGUUCUCUCGGGAGAAGUGUGCUAAUGUCCUCAAUGGCUCGAUAGGUCGAGUUGAGAUGUGAUUGAAGUUUCGAGGACGAAACUCUUUUAAGGGGUGGAGAAUGUAGCAUACCAGAUUUUUUUUUAAAUGUGAAUAUAAAUAAAAAUAGUGUGAGAUACUAUUUUUAUUGAACUUAUAGAAGUAAAAUAUAAGUCGGGAUCGACUCGUGUGGAAAUCGGAGUGAGAAUAGAAGAUUUUGAAUUUUCUGUGUGAAUCGAGACUGUUAUUUUAGCAAAAAAUGCACAGUGUCAGAAAAUUUCAAAAAUUUAGAAAAAUGUUAGGAUUAUUUUUAUGAGGCUAGAUUUAUUUCAUGACUUUCUGACACCCGAAAGGUGGGAAAUUAAAUCCGACUGCUAUCUGAUAAAGAUUACUGUUCGAUAUAGCUUUCGGUGACCAAACGGGAUCGAAACUGAAAGAUUAAAAUUUCUUUCAUUAAGUAAGGUAAAACUGAUCAUGACUGCCAAAUUUGAGCUCAAUCGGACGUUCAGAAGGGCAGACGAAAAAUAUCUGUACCUGAGCUACAAUCUGAUGUGAAUAGUGUUUUGGGAGUAUAUAUAUGUGAACUUGCACUCUUUUUUUUCUCAUUUUUGCCCAACCCGAGAGAGGCUUGGAGAGCAAGUUUCUUUUCUCUUUUUCUCUCUUUCUCUCUAGUUCUCACCCCUCACUUCUUUUCUCUUCUAAUCUCUCCACAAAAGAGGAUUAAUUGGAGAAAAAGUUGGAGUAGAAUCCUUGAAAGUUGGAGAGUAGCUUGGAGCUCAAGCUUUCAUCUCUUCCUCUCUAUUAGAGAAAGCUUUGGAGGUAAGCUUUGGUAGCUACAAUGGUAGAUUGCUAAGGAAUGAUUUGUAGGCUCUAAAAUUGGAUUUAGAGGAAUCCUUAGGUGCUAAAUAGAUGCUAUUUGCUUGAAUCAUGAAUCAAUUUGAUGAUUUCUUGCAAUAGUAGCAUAUUAAGGCUCAAAUUGGGGUUUUGCUAUGUAAGAGGGUUUGAUCUAAAUUGAGCCUGUAUAAACCUAAUUGCUAGGUUUUCUGACACGCUGGCGAAGUCGGUUCGGCGAUACGACGAGGCUACGCGAAGAUAUUAAAGAAAAGGCCGAUUUCGGUACAGAUUGCCGCAGCUUGCGGCGUAAGCUUCCAAAAAUCACAAAACCGGAAUCGUAGCAUUGUGACAUCACCUAAAGUCUUAGAGCUAAGAGAGUCGAGGGCACGAAGGGUCGCGUGGAGCUCUCGGUGGGUUUGACCUCGCUACAAAUGAGAAAAUCUCAUUUAUGUGGAUUUAAGUAUCGUAAAAUGGAAAAUCACGUAUUUUCAUGAAAGAUGCAUUAUUUGUGAAUUUUAGAAUGCUUGAAAUGCUUAUGUUAUAUACAAUAUAUUUUCGGACCUCUAUGUCGUAGAGAACUUGUAUGUGAGACUUAUGCAUGGGUUUAGUAUUCUAAUUGGG